AGCCGCCGGCCGCGUCCCUGGCCAGGCGGAGCGAGCCUCACUCCCGCAGCCGCCAGUCUGGUUCCAGGGCUCCCGCAGGUUUCGGGGGCCGAGGCGGACCGACAGGCGCCAGCCAAUCGCGAGCACGGAGCCGGCCUGGGGGCGGGGUGGUACCCGCUCCGCCAAUCGGGUGGGGGCGGAGCCAGACGCCGGGGGCGGACGGGAGGACCGGAGGACCGAGGACAGAAAGAUUGGUGGACAGGAGCAGCGGCCGGUGGGGAGGGCGCUCGGCGGCGGCCUGCGGCCAUGGCCACCGUGAUGGCAGCGACGGCGGCGGAGCGGGCGGUGCUGGAGGAGGAGUUCCGCUGGCUGCUGCACGACGAGGUGCACGCUGUGUUGAAGCAGCUGCAGGACAUCCUCAAGGUAACGACCCGCGCCCUGCCCCGCCGGGCGUGGCGGCCCUCCCUCCUCAUUUCCCUGGCUCCACCUGGGGCCGCGCGGCUGCGUCCUGAGCGCCUACAGUGUGCGGCUGCCGCGGCUUUCAGGCAGGGCCCCGCCUCCGCGAACUCGAGCCGACCUCAUUAUAUAAGUACCUGUGUGCGGGCAGGGGCGGGUCCCGACGAGGGUGCUAGCAAGGGCCUGAGUCCCGCCCGGCCUCGGGUCGGGGAAGGCCGCCUUGGGAGCAGCGGCAUCCAAUCUGGGAGCCGAAGAAUUCUGCCUCUGCCUGGCAGUGUGACUUCAGCCAAGUCACUGAACCUCCCUGGGCCUCCCUUUUCUCAUUGGCAAAAGGGAGAUAACAGUACCCGCUUCGCGAGGCUGGGGUGUAGAUAAAUGAGCCAGGCAGCUCACAGAAGUAACCGGCGUAGUGCUUGCUGUGGCCCAGGACCGCGGGUUACCAUAACUACUGCCUUGUUCCCUGACUCUGCCCCUUGCCCCUUUCCCCCUCAACCAAGCUGGGAGGCUGCCCCUGUCUGUUUUGUAUUCCCCGA
rnacentral:lncRNA from 1 species